GGCAUCCAUGUUACUGAAGUGGCUUCUGUCUGACUCCAAUGUCAAUAAUAAUAGCAGUGACUAACAUUAAUUGGCCACUUACCAUGUACAAGACAUCUUAGUAAGCGUUUUCUGUAAAUGAUCACACUUAAUCCUCACAGUGCGGCUAUGAGUCAGAUACUUUACAGACGACAGGACGGAAGUCAGAGAGGCCACAGGCCUAAUGAUUGGCUGCCUGGUCUACCCUGACGGUUGGGACUCAAGUGAGGUGCGGCGCAUGUGUGGGGAGCAGACGGGCAAGUACACGCUGGGCCACUGCAGCAUCCGCUGGGCCUUCAUGCUGGCCAUCCUCAGCAUUGGCGACGCCCUCAUCCUCUCCUUUCUGGCCUUCGUGUUGGGCUACCGGCAGGACAAGCUCCUCCCUGACGACUACAAGGCAGAUGGAACUGAGGAGGUGUGAAGCAGCUGAAGGGUCGGUGAGUAAUUCUAUGGGAGGGUGGUCUGCGUGCCCUUAGAAGGGCUGGGGCUCGGUGAGUAAUUCUAUGGGAGGGUGGUCUGCGUGCCCUUAGAAGGGCUGGGGCUCUCUGCUUCCUUACCGAAUCCUCAGGCAGCAGGACACCAGGGGCUGGGCUGUAAGGCUGUAACGCUGCUCGGGGAGAGAAGAACAACACCCCACUGGGGCAGGAGCUAUUUGGCCUCUGAGACCUUCACUGGGGAGCAAACAGGAAGCCUUUAGUUUUACCUGUCUUUUUUUUUGAGAUGGAGUUUUGCUCUUGUUGCCCAAGCCGGAGUGCAAUGGUGUGAUCUUGGCUCACUGCAACCUCCGCCUCCUGGGUUCAAGCCAUUCUCCUGCCUCAGCCUCCAGAGUUGCUGGGAUUACAGGAACAUGUCUGAUUUCAGGAGUACCCAAUGAAGGAUCCGAUGAAUGGCUGGCCAGUUACUCAGAGUAAUAUGUUUAUGAGUUAAAUGGAUUGCAUAACGGCACCACUUUUCCUUUGUCACUGUUGGUGGAUAACUGACAAAGUAGAUUCCAAUCUCCUGUAUAGAAAGGUGGUUACCCAACAGCCUCACUGGUGGCUUGCUAGCAGAGCCUCAAGUUGCACCUCUGUGGCUUUCUGUAAAUUCGAGUCCUACAGCCACUUCGAGAA
rnacentral:sRNA from 1 species